UACGUAGGGCGCAAGCGUUGUCCGGAAUUAUUGGGCGUAAAGAGCUCGUAGGCGGCUUGUCACGUCGGAUGUGAAAGCCCGAGGCUUAACCUCGGGUCUGCAUUCGAUACGGGCUAGCUAGAGUGUGGUAGGGGAGAUCGGAAUUCCUGGUGUAGCGGUGAAAUGCGCAGAUAUCAGGAGGAACACCGGUGGCGAAGGCGGAUCUCUGGGUGCCACCUGACACUGCUAGGACGAAAGCGUGGGGAGCGAAUGGG
rnacentral:rRNA from 1 species